rnacentral:rRNA from 1 species
UGGGGAAUUUUGGACAAUGGGCGAAAGCCUGAUCCAGCAAUGCCGCGUGUGUGAAGAAGGCCUUCGGGUUGUAAAGCACUUUUGUCCGGAAAGAAAUCCUCUGGGUUAAUACCUCGGGGGGAUGACGGUACCGGAAGAAUAAGCACCGGCUAACUACGUGCCAGCAGCCGCGGUAAUACGUAGGGUGCAAGCGUUAAUCGGAAUUACUGGGCGUAAAGCGUGCGCAGGCGGUUUUGUAAGACGGAUGUGAAAUCCCCGGGCUUAACCUGGGAACUGCAUUCGUGACUGCAAGGCUAGAGUAUGGCAGAGGGGGGUUAGAAUUCCACGUGUAGCAGUGAAAUGCGUAGAGAUGUGGAGGAAUACCGAUGGCGAAGGCAGCCCCCUGGGCCAAUACUGACGCUCAUGCACGAAAGCGUGGGGAGCAAACAGGAUUAGAUACCCUGGUAGUCCGCGCCCUAAACGAUGUCAACUAGUUGUUGGGGAUUCAUUUCCUUAGUAACGUAGCUAACGCGUGAAGUUGACCGCCUGGGGAGUACGGUCGCAAGAUUAAAACUCAAAUGAAUUGACGGGGUCAUAGCUGUUUCCU